GAUGAACGCCAGCUACAGGCUUAACACAUGCAAGUCGCGGGGCAGCAUGGGGGUUGCUUGCAACUCCCGAUGGCGACCGGCGCACGGGUGAGUAACGCGUAUCCAACCUGCCCUUCACCACGGGAUAACCCGGCGAAAGUCGGACUAAUACCGUAUGUUGUCCAUUGACGGCAUCCGAUUUGGACGAAAGGCUUUGCGGUGAAGGAUGGGGAUGCGUCCGAUUAGCCAGACGGCGGGGUAACGGCCCACCGUGGCUACGAUCGGUAGGGGUUCUGAGAGGAAGGUCCCCCACACUGGAACUGAGACACGGUCCAGACUCCUACGGGAGGCAGCAGUGAGGAAUAUUGGUCAAUGGGCGUAAGCCUGAACCAGCCAAGUAGCGUGCAGGAUGACGGCCCUAUGGGUUGUAAACUGCUUUUAUGCGGGGAUAAAGUGGCCCACGUGUGGGCUUUUGCAGGUACCGCAUGAAUAAGGACCGGCUAAUUCCGUG
rnacentral:rRNA from 1 species